UACGAAGGGGGCUAGCGUUGCUCGGAAUGACUGGGCGUAAAGGGCGCGUAGGCGGAGUGCUUUGUCGGGCGUGGAAUUCCGGGGCUCAACCUUGGGGCUGCGUUCGAGACGGGCAUUCUAGGGUGGAGAAGAGGGUCGUGGAAUUCCCAGUGUAGAGGUGAAAUUCGUAGAUAUUGGGAAGAACACCGGUGGCGAAGGCGGCGACCUGGUCUUUUACUGACGCUGAGGCGCGAAAGCGUGGGGAGCAAACAGG
rnacentral:rRNA from 1 species